CAACAUUCCUUUCAGCCCAAUUCUUUCUUCUUUGCGGAAAGCCCAAAUUUUUUCCUAAAACAACCCAAAUCUUCUAUCAAUUUCCAGCCACAACAAUCCUAGAAGCACUGUAUAGAUAAUUGAGAUAGAGGAAUACUCAAGUUUUGAUUUCGUUUUCGAGCUUGACAUUCUCUCUGUUGUGUUGUAAUCUCAUUUUGGUGGUGGAAUCAUCCUCGUGUCUAGCUCGUCCGUUCCGGUCACUGCCCAAAAAAAGGAUGACUUGUGGCUUGCCGUAGUAGUUCCUAAAUUCUGUUUCGAUAUUGAGAUGUCAUUCUUUCUAUGCUUCUGGUAUCUAUGCUUCUUGUAUCGAUGUAAUGUAUCGGCUCUCAUAUAAGUUUAUUGUUAUUACAUGCGAUGUCAAUCCGAGUUCACUAUGAACUCCUAUCAUCCUCCCCUUGCAUUUCGAGAGAGCCAUUAAGGCUCAAGUUCCUUCCAUCGAGUCAAGCACAUUAAAAAUCGACGUACAAGUCGGAAAAUGCAGAAGCAGAAGAGAAUGGAGAAAAUUGGACCAAAGAGUCCAAAUUUAUUAUUUUUUUUCGAAGUGUUGUAUUUUAUUAUCCUUGGGGCCUAAGCCCUUGUUUCUUUUAUCAUUGUAUUGUUAAAUCUUAGGACAGGUGAAAAUUGGGUCUUAGGCCUAAGAAGUAAAAAGAUUUAUUAUCUUGUUAGUUCAGGACAGGUAAAAAACCUAAUGGGCCUAAGGUCCAACAAAAAAAUGAUCCAAAUACCAAUCCAGGCGGACAGAAUCCGGAUUUGAACCCAA